rnacentral:rRNA from 1 species
AUCUUUUUGAUUUAAUAAAAAGUGUAACCUGCUCAAUGAAUUUAUUAAAUAGCUGCGAUUAUUUAUCGUACUAAGGUAGCAUAAUAAUUUGUCUUUUAAUUAAGGUCUGGAAUGAAUGGUUAAACGGGGAUUUACUUUUUUAUUCAAACUAGUUUGAAUUUUAUCUUUUAGUUAAAAGUCUAAAAUGAAUUUAUAAGACGAUAAGACCCUAUAGAAUUUUAUUUAAUAAAAAUAUUUAGUUUAAUAAGAAUAAUAUUUUUAUUAAAUUUGGUUGGGGUGAUUAUUAUAUUUUCAUAACUAUAAUUGAAUAUUUAUCAUUAAUUUAUGAUUUUGUGAUCCUAUAAUAUGGAUUAAAAGAAUAAAUUACCUUAGGGAUAACAGCGUAAUUUUCUUGGGGAGUUCUUAUUUAUAAGAAAGUUUGCGA